rnacentral:other from 1 species
CGGGUACUGCCCAAUUCGUGUCAGGGUCAGAUUCCGGUGGCCUUAACGACUUCCGAGGGGGCUGGCUCUGUCUGGGCCGUGGUCCAGUUACCUGGCACCCACCUGUAUUCACAGGUUCUCGGGAAUCAAGCGGCCCUCACGGUUGUGGCGGUCCCGCU